rnacentral:rRNA from 1 species
UACAGAGGUCUCAAGCGUUGUUCGGAUUCAUUGGGCGUAAAGGGCGUGUAGGUGGCUUGAAAAGUCUGGUGUGAAAACGCUACCGCUCAACGGAGCGAAUGCGCUGGAUACUUUCAAACUUGAGUUCGAGAGAGGCAGGCAGAAUACCUGGUGUAGCGGUGGAAUGCUUAGAGAUCAGGUAGAAUACCCGAGGCGAAGGCGGCCUGCUGGCUCGUAACUGACACUGAGGCGCGAAAGUGUGGGGAUCAAACGGG